AGUGAACGCUGGCGGUAGGCCUAACACAUGCAAGUCGAACGGCAGCACAGUAAGAGCUUGCUCUUACGGGUGGCGAGUGGCGGACGGGUGAGGAAUACAUCGGAAUCUACUUUUUCGUGGGGGAUAACGUAGGGAAACUUACGCUAAUACCGCAUACGACCUACGGGUGAAAGCAGGGGAUCUUCGGACCUUGCGCGAUUGAAUGAGCCGAUGUCGGAUUAGCUAGUUGGCGGGGUAAAGGCCCACCAAGGCGACGAUCCGUAGCUGGUCUGAGAGGAUGAUCAGCCACACUGGAACUGAGACACGGUCCAGACUCCUACGGGAGGCAGCAGUGGGGAAUAUUGGACAAUGGGCGCAAGCCUGAUCCAGCCAUACCGCGUGGGUGAAGAAGGCCUUCGGGUUGUAAAGCCCUUUUGUUGGGAAAGAAAAGCAGCGGGUUAAUACCCCGCUGCUCUGACGGUACCCAAAGAAUAAGCACCGGCUAACUUCGUG
rnacentral:rRNA from 1 species